UGGGUUCGAGCCCCACGUUGGGCGC
rnacentral:piRNA from 7 species